ACGGUGGUCUAGCGGUUAGAACGCUGGCCUUGUAAUCCUGGGGUCUCGGGUUCGAUUCCCGGCUGU
rnacentral:tRNA from 1 species